CCUCAUCCUCACCUGUGAGGAAAAGUUCAUCACCUGCUCGUGUGACUGCUACAUCAUCUUCAUCCUCACCUGUGAGGAAAAGUUCAUCACCUGCCCCUGUGACUGCUACAUCAUCCUCAUCCUCACCUGUGAGGAAAAGUUCAUCACCUGCCCCUGUGACUGCUACAUCAUCCUCAUCCUCACCUGUGAGGAAACGUUCAUCACCUGCUCCUGUUACUGCUACAUCAUCCUCAUCCUCACCUGUGAGGAAAAGUUCAUCACCUGCCCCUGUGACUGCUACAUCAUCCUCAUCCUCACCUGUGAGGCAGCGUUCAUCAAGAAAAAGACAGCAGGAGAGGUUUCAGUCAAGAUUGGUCAAACUACGGGAACAUCAUAACAAUUGCUCCAAGCGCUUCAAUAGAGCAGAAGUUGAAAAAACCAACAGAACAAAAAAGACUGCCAUACUUGAGGAUUGCGUUGUUCAUCAAUCCCUUCAAAAAGAAAAUGGGAGGACUCUGAGGUAAAAGCAGUUGAAAAACAUAUGAUGAAGUUCAUAAAGACCUGCAGAGUUCCUGGUAAGCAAGACUGUGAGAGAUGCAUUAAAGCAGAGUCAGAAGCCUUAAAGGAACGAACAUGGACUGGUGUGAAAAAUUAUGUGCGGAAC
ensembl:lncRNA